rnacentral:rRNA from 1 species
CCUACGGGUGGCAGCAGUGAGGAAUAUUGGUCAAUGGCCGGAAGGCUGAACCAGCCAAGCCGCGUGAGGGACGAAGGUGCUAAGCAUUGUAAACUUCUUUUGUCAAGGGGCAAAAUCAGGCACGUGAGCCUGAUUGAGGGUACUCGAAGAAAAAGCAUCGGCUAACUCCGUGCCAGCAGCCGCGGUAAUACGGAGGAUGCGAGCGUUAUCCGGAUUUAUUGGGUUUAAAGGGUGCGUAGGCGGAGGUUCAAGUCAGCGGUAAAAGGGCGGGGCUCAACCCCGUAGAGCCGUUGAAACUGGCUGUCUUGAGAGCGCGAGAGGUAUGCGGAAUGCGUAGUGUAGCGGUGAAAUGCUUAGAUAUUGCGCAGAACUCCGAUUGCGAAGGCAGCAUACCGGCGCGGAUCUGACGCUCAUGCACGAAAGCGUGGGUAUCGAACAGGAUUAGAUACCCCUGUAGUC